rnacentral:rRNA from 1 species
CCUACGUGUGGCAGCAGUGAGGAAUAUUGGUCAAUGGACGGAAGUCUGAACCAGCCAUGCCGCGUGCAGGAAGCCGGCUCUAUGAGUUGUAAACUGCUUUUGUCCAAGGGUAAACCUGAAUCAGUGGCUUCAGCUGAAAUUACUGUACUAAUAAGGAUCUGCUAACUCCGUGCCAGCAGCCGCGGUAAUACGGAGGAUCCAAGCGUUAUCCGGAUUUAUUGGGUUUAAAGGAUGCGUAGGGGUAAUAUCACGUCAGCGGUAAAAAUUCGGGGCUCACCCCCGUCGUGCCGUUGAAAGUGAUGUUCGUGAGUGGGCGAGAAGUAUGCGGAAUGCGUGGUGUAGCGGUGAAAUGCAGAGAUAUCACGCAGAACUCCGAUUGCGAAGGCAGCAUACCGGCGCCCAACUGACGCUGAAGCACGAAAGCGUGGGUAUCGAACAGGAUUAGAUACCCGAGUAGUC